GGUAUCCACUGUAGGCCUCUAUGAAUUUUGACCAUAAGGCACGCGGUGAAUGCCAA
rnacentral:pre_miRNA from 1 species